rnacentral:tmRNA from 1 species
ACUUUAGCAGGCUGGCGUCAUGGCGGGUGUCCGGCCGUUGACGCGAGAGGUUACAGUGGCAAUCGGAGGUGAUGGAUUCUGUCGUUCGAAGCCACGACUCCUAAAUUAAAAGAUCGAAUAUGCAUGUAGACGUUUAUUUAGACGGCCAUUAGGACAGGGGUUCAACUCCCCUCGCCUCCACCU